AGUUCUAUGGUGUGUAUCUAAUUGUAAGACAAACUGGUUUAAGAACUUUCGGUACCAGAUUCUGUUAUGAAAAACUUCUGAUUUGGACUGUUAGAGGUCAACAAAUACAAAUGAAAUGCCUAUCAGAUCGUUAUUAAGAUAUUUGCUGAAUAAUGAACAAAUGAUUCAAAAAUUAGCUGACAGUAAGCCAGUAAGAAGAGCAGCCCAACUUACAGUGUUUGUUAGUCAGAAAGCAAAAGAAUCAGGGUUUGACAGUGUGAGUAAAUUUUCGGAAGGAUUCAAACAAGGGGAGACUAAUGCAACAAAACCAGUGCGUAGAAGGAAAUGAUAACAGCAUGGAGAAUAAUGCUGGAGGGACAAACUGCAUUUGCCAAAGACAUGAACUCCAUUUAUUAAUCUAUAACCUUGGAGCCUAACAUUUUUAUACAAUGUACUUUUAAUGAUGAUCAUGAUGCCAAACUGUGGCUAUUUAUUUUAAUAUUAUUUCUGUUGAUCUGUGAUUUUCAAUAAACAUAUGGAUGGUG